rnacentral:rRNA from 1 species
UACGUAGGGGGCGAGCGUUGUCCGGGAGUACUGGGCGUAAAGCGCACGCAGGCGGUCUGUUAAGUUUGGAGUGACAGUUGGUGGCUUAACUGCCAAAGUGCUUCGAAAACUGACAGACUUGAGGCUUCAGAGGGACACGGAAUUCCGGGUGGAGUGGUGAAAUGCGUAGAGAUCCGGAGGAACACCAAAGGCGAAGGCAGUGUCCUGGGGAGUACCUGACGCUCGAG